rnacentral:rRNA from 1 species
GACGAACGCUGGCGGCGUGCCUAACACAUGCAAGUCGAGCGAGAGACUUCGGUCUCUAGCGGCGGACGGGUGAGUAACACGUGGGUAACCUGCCUCAUAGAGGGGGAUAGCCUCCCGAAAGGGAGAUUAAUACCGCAUAAUAUGGAUUAAUCGCAUGAUUGAUUCAUUAAAGGAGUAAUCCGCUAUGAGAUGGACCCGCGGCGCAUUAGCUAGUUGGAGAGGUAAAGGCUCACCAAGGCGACGAUGCGUAGCCGACCUGGGAGGGUGAUCGGCCACAUUGGAACUGAGACACGGUCCAGACUCCUACGGGAGGCAGCAGUGGGGAAUAUUGCACAAUGGGGGAAACCCUGAUGCAGCAACGCCGCGUGAGUGAUGAAGGCCUUCGGGUUGUAAAGCUCUGUCAUUGGGGACGAUAAUGACGGUACCCAAUGAGGAAGCCACGGCUAACUACGUGCCAGCAGCCGCCGUAAAAC